rnacentral:tRNA from 1 species
ACCGGGGCGGCCGGCUGGGUGGCCCGGCUCGGCGUGCCGGCGGCGGCGAUCCUGAUGUCGGGCGGGUUCUUCGCGUCCUCGGCG